GAAUUCGCCCUUAGAGUUUGAUCCUGGCUCAGGACGAACGCUGGCGGCGCGCCUAACACAUGCAAGUCGAACGGAGCUUAGAGAGCUUGCUUUUUAAGCUUAGUGGCGAACGGGUGAGUAACGCGUGAGUAACCUGCCCUAGAGUGGGGGACAACAGUUGGAAACGACUGCUAAUACCGCAUAAGCCCACGGUACCGCAUGGUACUGAGGGAAAAGGAUUUAUUCGCUUUAGGAUGGACUCGCGUCCAAUUAGCUAGUUGGUGAGGUAACGGCCCACCAAGGCGACGAUUGGUAGCCGGACUGAGAGGUUGAACGGCCACAUUGGGACUGAGACACGGCCCAGACUCCUACGGGAGGCAGCAGUGGGGAAUAUUGCACAAUGGGGGAAACCCUGAUGCAGCAACGCCGCGUGAAGGAAGACGGUUUUCGGAUUGUAAACUUCUGUUCUUAGUGAAGAAUAAUGACGGUAGCUAAGGAGCAAGCCACGGCUAACUACGUGCCAGCAGCCGCGGUAAUACGUAGGUGGCAAGCGUUGUCCGGAAUUACUGGGUGUAAAGGGAGCGUAGGCGGGAUGCCAAGUCAGCUGUGAAAACUAUGGGCUUAACCCGUAGACUGCAGUUGAAACUGGUAUUCUUGAGUGAAGUAGAGGUUGGCGGAAUUCCGAGUGUAGCGGUGAAAUGCGUAGAUAUUCGGAGGAACACCGGUGGCGAAGGCGGCCAACUGGGCUUUAACUGACGCUGAGGCUCGAAAGUGUGGGUAGCAAACAGGAUUAGAUACCCUGGUAGUCCACACCGUAAACGAUGAUUACUAGGUGUUGGAGGAUUGACCCCUUCAGUGCCGCAGUUAACACAAUAAGUAAUCCACCUGGGGAGUACGACCGCAAGGUUGAAACUCAAAGGAAUUGACGGGGGCCCGCACAAGCAGUGGAGUAUGUGGUUUAAUUCGACGCAACGCGAAGAACCUUACCAAGUCUUGACAUCCUGCGACGAUGCCGGAAACAGUAUUUUCCUUCGGGACGCAGAGACAGGUGGUGCAUGGUUGUCGUCAGCUCGUGUCGUGAGAUGUUGGGUUAAGUCCCGCAACGAGCGCAACCCUUACUGUCAGUUACUACGCAAGAGGACUCUGGCAGGACUGCCGUUGACAAAACGGAGGAAGGUGGGGAUGACGUCAAAUCAUCAUGCCCUUUAUGACUUGGGCUACACACGUACUACAAUGGCGUUAAACAAAGAGAAGCAAGACCGCGAGGUGGAGCAAAACUCAGAAACAACGUCCCAGUUCGGACUGCAGGCUGCAACCCGCCUGCGUGAAGCCGGAAUUGCUAGUAAUCGCGGAUCAGCAUGCCGCGGUGAAUACGAUCCCGGGCCUUGCACACACCGCCCGUCA
rnacentral:rRNA from 1 species